rnacentral:rRNA from 1 species
CCUUGUACACACCGCCCGUCACAUCAUGGGAGUUGGUUUUACCCGAAGUCACUGACCUAACCCGCAAGGGGAGGAGGUGCCGAAGGUAAGGCCGAUGACUGGGAUG